rnacentral:tRNA from 1 species
GGUGGCUCAGUGGUAGAGUGCUUGCCUUGCAUGCAGGAGGCCCUGGGUUCAAUUCUCAGCACCA